AGGCGUCCGAGCAGUCGCGGAGCCUGCCAGACCCUCGGCUAGAAUGGGGACCCGCUGUCCAGCCGAGGCUGGCGGAGGCGCACCGGGGGCGCAGAGGGCGAUGCUAGUAGUCUGGACCCAAAGGACUGCAGGAAGGAGACCGUGAGGAAGCGUCUGUGCCUGGGAAGCCCCAGCUCCUGCUUGGGCCAGGCAGCCAGCACCUACCUGAUCCCGGGGAACCGGAGUCCGGCGGCGGCAGGUGAGCUGUAGACGCUGCUGUGCAUGAUUAUCCCAUAGACCAGCAGGGCCAGCCUCGCUCCGCUACACAUGGUCAUUCUGCGCAGGAUGGGAAAGAGGACACACAGCUGUGAGAACGCCCCUGGCCUCCCACCCUCCAACCCCAAAAAGCUCUGGAAGCCGGGGGAGGGACGGAGCGAAGCCCCGGCUCCCUGAGUUGAACAGCACUUGGCGACAGCCGGUGCGCGCCCUGCCACUUCUUGCUUGCUAUAGUUAGAAAAAAAUAUAUAUAUAUGCAUCUACCCGGCGCCCAAUAACUAGCCAGACCCGGCUGAAGGAAAGCUAACUCCCCUGACGCGAUGCCAAGCGAAAGAAUCAGCAGUCGAGUGAGCCGGUCGCUUUGUCACGUAAUGAUCGGGUAUCAGAAAAAGACGUCAGCAUCCUAGUCCCUCAAGGAACAUAUUAACUAUUCUGUGCUGUCCUCUUGGAUGAUAAGAUCCGGAGUCAUCGACUUCUCAUAAACACCUUUCACUCAUACAAUCCAAUUUUUAAGAAGUCCAAUUGUUUUGAUGGUUUUCAAUUUCACCCGUUUCUCAAGGACAGGUAAAGAAUUUUUAGAAUUUUGAGGAUGACAAAAGUUAUGUUUUUAACUAUAUAAUUACGAUUUCUCUUUACUUUUUCAUCAAGCCUCACCAAUCAGAGCUCUGGUCUCUGGAAUUAAGCAUCAUCAAGCUCUCCUAUUAAUAAAUUUAAUUUAGAUCUCCUAAUUUCUUGCGUAUGUUCUUUCAGAUAGACCAUUAAAUGUGGAAGUCGUUUUGUUUUUAAAGGGAAGUCUUGGAGGAUUUUCAGUAAAUCUCUCCUGAGUCUGGCUGCCGUUGACAGUAGGGCUAUGAGUAGAUUGAUGAGAGCUCAUGCUGCCUCCGGAGCGCGGCCUGCGGAGCUGUCCAGACUCCGGGUGCUGAAGUGUAGGGUAACAGAUGCUACAAACGUUGAAAAUUGCCACCGGUUUAAUUUUUCACCAGAGCCUCUAAAUUUGAAGAUUUGGCAGUAGUGCUAUUAACGUGGCGAUUCAUCGCCUAAAUCACCCCCACCGUUCAGAUACAUCCUUUCCCUCUUGUAGCGUCCAUAAAUGCCCUAAUGCUGAGAAUGCUCCCCAUCCCUGCCUGGAUUUGAGGAAAAAGCAUUCUGUCCCCCGUUAGUCCUGGCUUUUGGAUUUCUAGACCGGCUGUUUGGCUACUUUCACACCUUCUGUGGCUCUUACAGAUUUUAAAAAUUGAUGUUGUGAAAUUGUGUUUUCCACAAGAAGUGAAAUUUUAAGAAUUUGGGGGCGAGAAAUAUGUUUUUCCACUUUGUUUACAACUUCAGCUCUGUUUGGGAGACACAGACAGACUGGGAAAGCAUGAGGGUUCCCAGUACAAGUUCACCUGAUGAAGGUUUCUAACAGGAAUCCCUCUGCUGGAAACAGUUAAUUUUUUUAACUGAAAAUGAUGUGGGAAGAGGAAAGCAAUAAGGGAAGACCAUAUCCACCCAGAGGCUUCCAAUUUCCUGGGUAAUUGAAGAAGGUUCAUAUAUUUCUACUCCAGUAAGAGAACUC
rnacentral:lncRNA from 1 species